CGGCUCACCAGGCGACGAUCCCUAGCUGGUCUGAGAGGAUGACCAGCCACACUGGAACUGAGACACGGUCCAGACUCCUACGGGAGGCAGCAUG
rnacentral:rRNA from 1 species